UACGGGGGGAGCAAGCGUUGUUCGGAUUUACUGGGCGUAAAGGGCGCGUAGGCGGCGUGACAAGUCACUUGUGAAAUCUCCGGGCUUAACUCGGAACGGUCAAGUGAUACUGUCGUGCUAGAGUACAGAAGGGGCAACUGGAAUUCUCGGUGUAGCGGUGAAAUGCGUAGAUAUCGAGAGGAACACCUGCGGCGAAGGCGGGUUGCUGGGCUGACACUGACGCUGAGACGCGAAAGCUAGGGGAGCGAACAGG
rnacentral:rRNA from 1 species